CCUAACACAUGCAAGUCGAGCGGCAGCGACAACAUUUGGAACCUUCGGGGGAGUUUGUUGGGGCGGCGAGCGGCGGACGGGUGAGUAAUGCCUGGGAAAUUGCCCUGAUGUGGGGGAUAACCAUUGGAAACGAUGGCUAAUACCGCAUGAUAGCUUCGGCUCAAAGAGGGGGACCUUCGGGCCUCUCGCGUCAGGAUAUGCUCAGGUGGGAUUAGCUAGUUGGUGAGGUAAGGGCUCACCAAGGCGACGAUCCCUAGCUGGUCUGAGAGGAUGAUCAGCCACACUGGAACUGAGACACGGUCCAGACUCCUACGGGAGGCAGCAGUGGGGAAUAUUGCACAAUGGGCGCAAGCCUGAUGCAGCCAUGCCGCGUGUAUGAAGAAGGCCUUCGGGUUGUAAAGUACUUUCAGCAGUGAGGAAGGGGAUGUCGUUAAUAGCGAUAUUCUUUGACGUUAGCUGCAGAAGAAGCACCGGCUAACUCCGUG
rnacentral:rRNA from 1 species